AGCUUCGUGGCGCAGCGGAAGCGCGUGAGUUGCUCUUCCUAGAAAGCAUCAUAUAUACCUUCCAAAUUCUAACAUCCUCUUAGGCCGGGCUCAUAACCCGGAGGACCUCGGAUCGAAACCGAGCGAAGCUA